CUACACACACACUACACCUACACACACACUACACACACACUACACUACACACCACACUACACCUACACACACACUACACACACACACUACACUACACACCACACUACACCACACCACACUACACCACACACUACACACACUACACACCACACACACUACACACACCACACACUACACACCACACACUGCAUACAUACACACACUACAUACACACACUACAUACACACACUACAUACACACACACUACACCCACCACACACCCACCACACACACUACACUACACACACCACACACUACACUACACAGGUGGGGUGAGGAGGGUGGGGUGAGGUGAGUGAGUGGGUGAGUGAGUGGGUGAGUGAGUGGGUGAGUGAGUGGGUGAGUGAGUCGGUGAGUGAGUCGGUGAGUGAGUGGGUGAGUAGGUGAGUGAGUAGGUGAGUGAGUGUGUAGGUGAGUGUGAGUGUGUAAUGUUUAAUUAGAGUAAUAAAUAUUGCUUAAUAUUAGCAGCUAAACCAGCAGCACUGUCUCCUGUGUGGGACAGACACCACAGAGACACCCACAGAGACACUAAACUGUUUGUACUCAAUCAUGGUGAUGACAAUGAUGACGAUGAUGAUGAUGAUACUUUACCGAAUAAGAUUUCUCGAAAUGCCUUUUUUGACACAGAUGUAUAGAUUUUAAGAUUGAUAAUGACGACGAUAAUGAUGUUGAUGGGGGUGAUGAUGGUGGUAAUGAUGAUUGUGGUAAUGAUGAUUGUGGUGGUGAUGGUGGUGGUGAUGAUGAUGGUGGUGAUGAUGAUGGUGGUGAUGAUGAUGGUGAUGAUGAUGAUGGUGGUGGUGGUGAUGAUGGUGGUGAUGAUGAUGAUGGUGGUGAUGAUGAUGAUGAUGGUGGUGAUGGUGGUGAUGGUGGUGAUGGUGGUGGUGGUAAUGAUGAUGAUGGUGGUGGUGGUGAUGAUGGUGGUGGUGAUGAUGGUGAUGAUGGUGGUGGUGGUGAUGAUGGUGGUGGUGGUGGUGGUGGUGAUGGUGGUGGUGGUGAUGAUGAUAGUGGUGAUGAUGAUAGUGGUGAUGAUGAUAGUGGUGAUGAUGAUAGUGGUGAUGAUGAUGGUGGUGAUGAUGAUGGUGGUGGUGGUGGUGGUGAUGAUGGUGGUGGUGAUGGUGAUGAUGAUGGUGGUGAUGAUGGUGGUGAUGAUGAUGGUGGUGGUGUUGGUGACGAUAAUGAUGGUGGUGAUGAUGAUCAAAAUUGGUGGUGGUGAUUAUAACAAUGAUGGGUGAUGAUGAUGCUAUAGUUUAUAACAGGGAGGGAGUGUUGCCUUGUUGUGUCGUUACGUCAGAAACUUACAAAAAAAUAAUAAAAACUCGUCUCCUCCGUC